rnacentral:rRNA from 1 species
UACGUAGGGGGCAAGCGUUGUCCGGAAUCACUGGGCUUAAAGCGCGUGUAGGCGGGAGGGCACGUCCGUUGCUGAAAUCCCCCGGCUCAACCGGGGAACGGGCGCGGAUACGACUCUCCUUGAGGGGCGUAGGGGGACCUGGAACUUCCGGUGGAGCGGUGAAAUGCGUUGAGAUCGGAAGGAACGCCCGUGGCGAAAGCGAGGUCCUGGACGCCUACUGACGCUGAGACGCGAAAGCCAGGGGAGCGAACGGG